ACCCGGUAGACGAGUCCCAAAUAGGACGAAAUGCGCGUUAUCCUGGAU
rnacentral:hammerhead_ribozyme from 1 species